AGCUUUAUAGUCAAUAAAAUGAUAUUAGACUGCAAUUCUAAAGUAGAAUUAUAAUUCUAAAGCUU
rnacentral:tRNA from 1 species